rnacentral:rRNA from 1 species
UGCCGGCGACCGGCGCACGGGUGAGUAACACGUAUGUAACCUGCCCUAUGCAGGGGGAUAACCCGGAGAAAUCCGGCCUAAUACCGCGUAACACCUUUUGGGAGCAUUCCCGGGAGGUUAAAGGAGAGAUCCGGCAUAGGAUGGACAUGCGUCGCAUUAGGUAGACGGCGGGGUAACGGCCCACCGUGCCGACGAUGCGUAGGGGUUCUGAGAGGAAGGCCCCCCACACUGGUACUGAGACACGGACCAGACUCCUACGGGAGGCAGCAG